rnacentral:rRNA from 1 species
UACAGAGGUCUCAACCGUUGUUCGGAUUUACUGGGCGUAAAGGGCGCGUAGGCGGCCAGCACAAGUCAGUUGUGAAAUCUCCGGGCUUAACUCGGAAAGGUCAACUGAUACUGUGCGGCUAGAGUGCAGAAGGGGCAACUGGAAUUCUCGGUGUAGCGGUGAAAUGCGUAGAUAUCGAGAGGAACACCUGCGGCGAAGGCGGGUUGCUGGGCUGACACUGACGCUGAUGCGCGAAAGCCAGGGGAGCGAACGGG